rnacentral:lncRNA from 10 species
GGAGUACUGGGUCCACUGGAGAGCGAAGAGCCGCGGCCGCCAGGAUUCCCAGCAGCGGCCGCGUGUUGAGAGCCUAGAAGUGGCCCCGAAGCCGUGCCUUUCCCGAUAGCCAAGCAGAAGUAGGACUUGAAGCACCGAGGCUGGGAUGCCCAUGCUGGUGACGCCUUGGGGCUCGCAGUUAUACUUGGUGACCGGUCUACACGGCGAUUCGGUGCUUUCCGGAGUAGCAGAUUCAUCUAUCUUUAGACCCACCUUCGUCCUUCGGCGGUUUAGCACGGCCUGCGCUUUCCUGCGAGCCCUGCUGUCACCCGAACAGCCUGAUGACUUCACGCUCAACCACUGGAGGGCACAACCACAUCAUUUUUAAAAAAUAGAUUCCUCCACUUAAAGGACAUGGUUUUGGGGGAAAGAACAUUUAAAAAAUGUAAAAAGAUAUAUAUCUAUAUCUAUAUAUCUAUCUCAGAUUGUUCUGAUAUAAACUCAGGUGGGAUUCUUCAAAACAGGAGGCUGUUCCAGUCUCUUCAUUUUGCAGCUGAGAAAACGAAGGCCUUGGAGCUUGAGAACUCCAGUUGCCCAAGGCACACAGGUGGUGGUGAAAGCAUAUUGACUUUCCUGACUUCUUAUGACCACAUUUGAGGAAAGGAGUAAGCACUGGAAUCACCAACACAGCAUGCUUACGGAGGGUGGUCACCAGCUUCAUCAGCCUCCCAAUUCCACGGAGC